AGUGAACGCUGGCGGUAGGCCUAACACAUGCAAGUCGAACGGCAGCACAGAGGAGCUUGCUCCUUGGGUGGCGAGUGGCGGACGGGUGAGGAAUACAUCGGAAUCUACUUUUUCGUGGGGGAUAACGUAGGGAAACUUACGCUAAUACCGCAUACGACCUACGGGUGAAAGCAGGGGAUCUUCGGACCUUGCGCGAUUGAAUGAGCCGAUGUCGGAUUAGCUAGUUGGCGGGGUAAAGGCCCACCAAGGCGACGAUCCGUAGCUGGUCUGAGAGGAUGAUCAGCCACACUGGAACUGAGACACGGUCCAGACUCCUACGGGAGGCAGCAGUGGGGAAUAUUGGACAAUGGGCGCAAGCCUGAUCCAGCCAUACCGCGUGGGUGAAGAAGGCCUUCGGGUUGUAAAGCCCUUUUGUUGGGAAAGAAAUCCAGCCGGCUAAUACCUGGUUGGGAUGACGGUACCCAAAGAAUAAGCACCGGCUAACUUCGUGCCAGCCGCCGCCGUAA
rnacentral:rRNA from 1 species